rnacentral:rRNA from 1 species
AGAGUUUGAUCCUGGCUCAGAACGAACGUUAGCGGCGCGCCUAACACACGCAAGUCGAACGCGACUGGGGGCAACUCCAGUUGAGUGGCGCACGGGUGAGUAACACGUAGGUAAUCUCCCCCCGAGUGGUGGAUAACCUUCCGAAAGGAGGGCUAAUACAGCAUAAGACCACGGCUUCGAAAGGAGCUGAGGUCAAAGCGGAGGAUCGCAAGACUUCGCGCUUGGGGAUGAGCCUGCGGCCCAUCAGGUAGUUGGCGGAGUAAAAGCCCACCAAGCCUAAGACGGGUAGCUGGUCUGAGAGGAUGAUCAGCCACACUGGAACUGAGACACGGUCCAGACUCCUACGGGAGGCAGCAGUGGGGAAUCUUGCGCAAUGGACGAAAGUCUGACGCAGCGACGCCGCGUGGGUGAUGAAGGCCUUCGGGUUGUAAAGCCCUGUGGGGAGGGACGAAUAAGUUCCAGCUAAUACCUGGAGCGAUGACGGUACCUCCUUAGCAAGCACCGGCUACUCUGUGCCAGCAGCCGCGGUA